rnacentral:misc_RNA from 1 species
UCCGGUUUGUCACCGGCAGUCUCGCAUGAGUCCCCAACUAAAUGCUGGCAACGUAGGAUAAGGGUUGCGCUCGUUGCGGGACUUAACCCAACAUCUCACGACACGAGCUGACGACAGCCAUGCACCACCUGUACACCAACCACAAGGGAAGCCCUAUCUCUAGGGAUGUCUGGCGCAUGUCAAGCCCAGGUAAGGUUCUUCGCGUUGCAUCGAAUUAAUCCACAUGCUCCGCCGCUUGUGCGGGCCCCCGUCAAUUUCUUUGAGUUUUAAUCUUGCGACCGUACUCCCCAGGCGGCGUGUUUAACGCGUUAGCUUCGCCACAAAAGGGGUCGAUUCCUUUUACAGCAAACACGCACCGUUUAGGGCUAGGACUAC